ACGAACGCUGGCGGCGCGCCUAACACAUGCAAGUCGAACGAGCGAGAGAGAGCUUGCUUUCUUGAGCGAGUGGCGAACGGGUGAGUAACGCGUGAGGAACCUGCCUCAAAGAGGGGGACAACAGUUGGAAACGACUGCUAAUACCGCAUAAGCCCACGACCCGGCAUCGGGUUGAGGGAAAAGGAGCAAUCCGCUUUGAGAUGGCCUCGCGUCCGAUUAGCUAGUUGGUGAGGUAACGGCCCACCAAGGCGACGAUCGGUAGCCGGACUGAGAGGUUGAACGGCCACAAUUGGACUGAGACACGGCCCAGAAUCCUACGGGAGGGAGGAAGGGGGAAUAUUGCACAAUGGGGGAAACCCUGAUGCAGCGACGCCGCGUGGAGGAAGAAGGUCUUCGGAUUGUAAACUCCUGUUGUUGAGGAAGAUAAUGACGGUACUCAACAAGGAAGUGACGGCUAACUACGUG
rnacentral:rRNA from 1 species